CGGACGGGUGAGUAACGCGUGAGAACCUACCUUUUGGCGAGGGACAACCACUGGAAACGGUGGCUAAUACCUCAUAUUGCUGAGAAGUGAAAGAUGAAUAAUCGCCAAAAGAUGGUCUUGCGUCUGAUUAGCUAGUUGGUGAGGUAACGGCUCACCAAGGCGACGAUCAGUAGCUGGUCUAAGAGGAUGAUCAGCCACACUGGGACUGAGACACGGCCCAGACUCCUACGGGAGGCAGCAGUGGGGAAUUUUCCGCAAUGGGCGAAAGCCUGACGGAGCAACGCCGCGUGAGGGAGGAAGGCCUUAGGGUUGUAAACCUCUUUUCUCUGGGAAGAAGAACUGACGGUACCAGAGGAAUAAGCCUCGGCUAACUCCG
rnacentral:rRNA from 1 species